AUAAGCGGAGGAUUAUGCAGCUGCUGCAGAGAGAGCGCUAGUUCCUCUACUCAUGAAAAUAAACCCAUAGCAGGCAGCCAUGGAGUCUCUGUCUCCCUCCCCAACAUUCAUCGUAUCCACAAAAUUCUCACUGAAACCUCGCAAAACCCAGUCCCAAACCCCCACUACGAGCCUCAGAUUCCCCAUCUCACCAACCCAUAAGAACCCAUUUACUUUUUCUUCUGUUUCUCACAGUUCUUGUAGUUGUUUCUCAGUUAACACAUGUGCAGCUUCAACAUCAACAACAGCUUCACCUUCCACUUCUCUUCCUCUAUCUUCCACUUCCAGUGACAAACGCCACUGGAUUGUGCUCAUGGAGGCUCCUCCACAAGGGGUCAAUUCAAAACAAGAAGUUAUUGAAUACUAUGUUAAAACCCUUCAAAGUGUUUUGGGCAAUGAGAAGGAUGCUCAAAUGUGUAUAUACGAUGCUUCUUGGGAUACCCAUUUUGGCUUUUGCUGUGAUAUUGAGGAAGAAACUUCCCACAAGCUCGCAUGUUUACCGGGGGUUUUAUCGGUUAAGCCUGACCCGGAUUAUAGUUCUGCAAAAAAGGAUUAUAGUCCACCAAAUGUUCAAUCAGGUUUUAUGUCUUACCCUCAAAGUGGAAGUACUUUCUUAUUUCCUCUUUCCAACACCAAAAGGUGGCUCGUUCGAAUGGAUAAACCCAGCAUUGGGGUUGUUACAAAGGCACAAAUGGUUGAUUAUUAUGCUCAGAUACUAACAAAGGUCUUGGGGAAUGAGAAGGAUGCACAAAUGUGUAUUUAUCAUGUUUCCUGGCAAUCUAACUUUGGGUUCUGUUGUGAACUUGAUGAAGAGUGUGCACGGGAAUUAGCUGGUGUUCCUGGUGUUUUAUCUGUUGAGCCUGACAAGAAUUGGGAGUCGGAGAACAAAGAUUAUGGAGGUAAUAAUUUGCAGAGUUCUACAGAUCUGUCGAUAUCUGGAGAGGCAAGUGAAACAACCCCGACAAAAACAAAGAAACUUUUUGUUACUGUUUCUGAACAGGCCUAUCAUUUUAUACAUCUGAGAAAACCCUCCGAGCAGCAUUUGAAGGCUUUGGUGAGCUUGUUGAAGUUAAAAUAAUAAUGGACAAAAUUUCUAAAAGGUCCAAAGGUUAUGCAUUCAUAGAAUACACCACAGAGGAAGCUGCUAGUGCAGCACUCAGAGAGAUGAAUGGCAAGAUCAUUAAUGGCUGGAUGAUAGUUGUUGAUGUUGCCAAGACUAGCCCGCCAAGAUACAGCAGGGGUCAGAGCAGACCAGCAACCAGAUGAAAGAGAGAGAAGGUUCUAGAGAGAUUUGUCACUAAGAAUUGAAUUAUUUUGUGACCAGCAUCCUAAAUAUUGACAUUGAGUUCAUAUAAGGAACUUUGUCAGUA